ensembl:misc_RNA Metazoa_SRP Metazoan signal recognition particle RNA
GCCAGGUGUGAUGGUUCACGCCUGUAAUCCCAGCACCUUGGGAGGCUGAGGCGGGUGAAUCACCUGAGGUCAGGAGUUCGAGACCAGCCUGGCCAAUAUGGUGAAACCCCGUCUCUA